rnacentral:tRNA from 1 species
GGGUCUAGGGACUAGUGGUUAGGCCACAGUGCUCUCACCGCUGCGGCCUGUGUUCAAUUCCCGGCCAGGGAACCG